CUACUCCAAAGCUGACUAAAGAGUUUUCGAAGCGGCUUAACCUCCCCUUCUCCUCCCCAGUGAAGGUGGCAUUGGCACAAUUACAGUAAAAUGAGCUGUCCCUUUAAAAGGGAAAAAAAAAAUCCUUUCUGUUUGUUAGUUCAAGUCAUUACUGCCAAAAGUGGCUUCCUAUCCUAACCUGAACGGCCACAGAGUCACUCCAUUAGGGAUUCAACAGGCACUCUGUUUGCUUAUGAUUGGGUUACAUUUAGUUAGCUCCUUUUGGGCUUAGGAUAACAAUUUUCACAGCAUUUUAAAGCAAGAUCGCCAAGCCUGUCCUCUCAAAGUCUUCCACUCAGUGACUAUGAAGACCCAGUGACAGCCUCAGGCUUUAUAUAGGAUCUGAAGAUAACCAUCUCCAUCAACAGAAAUCAGAUCCUAGAUCUCCUAGAUCAGCCAGACCCCUGGAAGUCAGAGUCCAUAAUGCGGUGGUGCUGCUGGCAUGUGCCAGUGAAGAUGUGCGUGGGAUUUUUAUGUCUCUCUCUGGUUUGGAACGUAGCUUCAUGCGUAAGAAGAGAAAACAGGAAAGAAAAGCAAGUGGCAGUGCUGGCUACCGCAG
ensembl:lncRNA